ACUCCUACGGGAGGCAGCAGUGGGGGAAUAUUGCACAAUGGGGGGAAACCCUGAUGCAGCCAUGCCGCGUGUGUGAAGAAGGCCUUCGGGUUGUAAAGCACUUUCAGUAGGGAGGAAGGUAGUGUAGUUAACACCUGCAUUAUUUGUACGUUACCUACAGAAGAAGCACCGGCUAACUCCGUGCCAGCAGCCGCGGUAAGUACGGAGGGUGCGAGCGUUAAUCGGAAUUACGUGGGCGUAAAGCGCAUGCAGGCGGCCUGUUAAGUCAGAUGUGAAACGCCCGGGGGUCUUAACCGUCGGAAUUUGCUAUUUGAAAACUGGCAGGCUAGAGUCUUGUAGAGGGGUUAGAAUUUCGAGGUGUAGCGGUGAAAGUGCGUAGAGAUCUG
rnacentral:rRNA from 1 species